rnacentral:rRNA from 1 species
UACCAGCACCCCGAGUGGUCGGGACGGUUAUUGGGCCUAAAGCAUCCGUAGCCGGUUUUACAAGUCCCCCGUUAAAUCCAGCUGCUUAACAGAUGGGCUGCGGAGGAUACUAUAAGACUAGGAGGCAGGAGAGGCAAGCGGUACUCAGUGGGUAGGGGUAAAAUCCGUUGAUCCAUUGAAGACCACCAGUGGCGAAGGCGGCUUGCCAGAAUGCGCUCGACGGUGAGGGAUGAAAGCUGGGGGAGCAAACCGG